AUACCCGGGUAGUCCCAGCCGUAAACGAUGCGCGUUAGGUGUAUCGAUGACCACGAGUCAUCGAGGUGCCGAAGGGAAACCGUGAAACGCGCCGCCUGGGAAGUACGGUCGCAAGGCUGAAACUUAAAGGAAUUGGCGGGGGAGCACCACAACAGGUGGAGCUUGCGGUUUAAUCGGACUCAACGCCGGAAAUCUCACCGGAUAAGACAGCUGAAUGAUAGCCGGGCUGAAGACUCUGCUUGACUAGCUGAGAGGAGGUGCAUGGCCGUCGUCAGUUCGUACUGUGAAGCAUCCUGUUAAGUCAGGCAACGAGCGAGACCCACGCCAACAGUUGCCAGCAUGUCCUCCGGGAUGGUGGUGACACUGUUGGGACCGCCUCUGCUAAAGAGGAGGAAGGAAUGGGCAACGGUAGGUCAGCAUGCCCCGAAUUAUCCGGGCUACACGCGGGCUACAAUGGGCAGGACAAUGGGUUUCGACACCGAAAGGUGAAGGCAAUCUCUUAAACCUGCUCGUAGUUCGGAUUGCGGGUUGCAACUCGCCCGCAUGAAGCUGGAAUCUGUAGUAAUCGC
rnacentral:rRNA from 1 species